UUAAAACUUCAGUGUGUACAUUGUAGUAAGAUAUAACAUACUCGCUACGAAAAAGGGGAAACCUUGAACAACAACCCCCUUCUCUCGUAUUUAAAUUAAAGCUUGUACAAAUACAUUUAAUUUAUUCCGGCAAUGACCGAAUUUUGUAUUUGCAACUGACAAGGAUGUUCACAUUAAUAGGCUGCGUAAACAACAAGCUACACCAAUUAUUCAAUACGCCCCUCGUCCUGAACAUGCAUUAAAUAUUUGCCACUGGACGUUA
rnacentral:lncRNA from 1 species